UGGGGAAUAUUGCACAAUGGGCGAAAGCCUGAUGCAGCAACGCCGCGUGAGUGAAGAAGGUUUUUGGAUUGUAAAGCUCUUUCGGCUGGGAAGAGGGGUUAUUUGGUUAAUAUCUAAGUAACUUGACGGUACCAGCAUAAGAAGCACUGGCUAAUUCCGUGCCAGCAGCCGCGGUAAUACGGAAGGUGCAAGCGUUGUUCGGAUUGACUGGGCGUAAAGCGCGCGUAGGCGGGUUUAUAUGUCGAUUGUGAAAUCCCCAGGCUCAACCUGGGAAUUGCAGUCGAAACUGUAGAUCUUGAAUGUCUGAGGGGUUGGCGGAAUUCCAGGUGUAGGAGUGAAAUCCGUAGAUAUCUGGAGGAACACCGGUGGCGAAGGCGGCUAACUGGCAGAACAUUGACGCUGAGGUGCGAAAGCGUGGGGAGCAAACAGG
rnacentral:rRNA from 1 species